UAAGGGAAACAGUGCAUACAAUCAACU
rnacentral:piRNA from 1 species